AGAGUUUCUUUCUGGCUCAGGAUGAACGCCGGCGGUGUGCCUAAUACAUGCAAGUCGUACGCACUGGCCCAACUGAUUGAUGGUGCUUGCACCUGAUUGACGAUGGAUCACCAGUGAGUGGCGGACGGGUGAGUAACACGUAGGUAACCUGCCUCGGAGCGGGGGAUAACAUUUGGAAACAGAUGCUAAUACCGCAUAACAACAAAAGCCACAUGGCUUUUGUUUGAAAGAUGGCUUUGGCUAUCACUCUGGGAUGGACCUGCGGUGCAUUAGCUAGUUGGUAAGGUAACGGCUUACCAAGGCGAUGAUGCAUAGCCGAGUUGAGAGACUGAUCGGCCACAAUGGAACUGAGACACGGUCCAUACUCCUACGGGAGGCAGCAGUAGGGAAUCUUCCACAAUGGGCGCAAGCCUGAUGGAGCAACACCGCGUGAGUGAAGAAGGGUUUCGGCUCGUAAAGCUCUGUUGUUGGAGAAGAACGUGCGUGAGAGUAACUGUUCACGCAGUGACGGUAUCCAACCAGAAAGUCACGGCUAACUACGUGCCAGCAGCCGCGGUAAUACGUAGGUGGCAAGCGUUAUCCGGAUUUAUUGGGCGUAAAGCGAGUGCAGGCGGUUCAAUAAGUCUGAUGUGAAAGCCUUCGGCUCAACCGGAGAAUUGCAUCAGAAACUGUUGAACUUGAGUGCAGAAGAGGAGAGUGGAACUCCAUGUGUAGCGGUGGAAUGCGUAGAUAUAUGGAAGAACACCAGUGGCGAAGGCGGCUCUCUGGUCUGCAACUGACGCUGAGGCUCGAAAGCAUGGGUAGCGAACAGGAUUAGAUACCCUGGUAGUCCAUGCCGUAAACGAUGAGUGCUAAGUGUUGGGAGGUUUCCGCCUCUCAGUGCUGCAGCUAACGCAUUAAGCACUCCGCCUGGGGAGUACGACCGCAAGGUUGAAACUCAAAGGAAUUGACGGGGGCCCGCACAAGCGGUGGAGCAUGUGGUUUAAUUCGAAGCAACGCGAAGAACCUUACCAGGUCUUGACAUCCAGUGCAAACCUAAGAGAUUAGGUGUUCCCUUCGGGGACGCUGAGACAGGUGGUGCAUGGCUGUCGUCAGCUCGUGUCGUGAGAUGUUGGGUUAAGUCCCGCAACGAGCGCAACCCUUGUCAUUAGUUGCCAUCAUUAAGUUGGGCACUCUAAUGAGACUGCCGGUGACAAACCGGAGGAAGGUGGGGAUGACGUCAAGUCAUCAUGCCCCUUAUGACCUGGGCUACACACGUGCUACAAUGGACGGUACAACGAGAAGCGAACCUGCGAAGGCAAGCGGAUCUCUUAAAGCUGUUCUCAGUUCGGACUGUAGGCUGCAACUCGCCUACACGAAGCUGGAAUCGCUAGUAAUCGCGGAUCAGCACGCCGCGGUGAAUACGUUCCCGGGCCUUGUACUCACCGCCCGUCA
rnacentral:rRNA from 1 species